CCUACGGGUGGCAGCAGUGGGGAAUAUUGGACAAUGGGCGAAACCCUGAUCCAGCGACGCCGCGUGAGUGAAGAAGUAUUUCGGUACGUAAAGCUCUAUCAGCAGGGAAGAAAAUGACGGUACCUGACUAAGAAGCCCCGGCUAACUACGUGCCAGCAGCCGCGGUAAUACGUAGGGGGCAAGCGUUAUCCGGAUUUACUGGGUGUAAAGGGGGCGUAGGCGGUGCGCCAAGUCUGGUGUGAAACGCAGCAGCUUAACCUCGGAACUGCAUUGGAAACUGGCGAACUAGAGUACGGGAGAGGUAGGCGGAAUUCCUAGUGUAGCGGUGAAAUGCGUAGAUAUUAGGAGGAACACCGGUGGCGAAGGCGGCUUGCUGGACCGUAACUGACGUUGAGGCUCGAAAGCGUGGGGAGCAAACAGGAUUAGAUACCCUUGUAGUC
rnacentral:rRNA from 1 species